rnacentral:rRNA from 1 species
UACGGGGGGAGCAAGCGUUGUUCGGAUUUACUGGGCGUAAAGGGCGCGUAGGCGGUCGUGACAAGUCACUUGUGAAAUCUCCGGGCUUAACUCGGAACGGUCAAGUGAUACUGUCGGACUAGAGUGCAGAAGGGGCAAUCGGAAUUCUUGGUGUAGCGGUGAAAUGCGUAGAUAUCAAGAGGAACACCUGAGGUGAAGACGGGUUGCUGGGCCAACACUGACGCUGAGGCGCGGAA